rnacentral:lncRNA from 1 species
AAAAAAUAUGUUCUUGGUUUGAAACCAAGAACGUUGAACAGGAACUAUUUUCGUCCAAACAAUCCAAAUCAUUGGCCAAAAUUUCGAACCACUAUUUCUAUCAAGGAUUCGGAAGCAGAAGCUUCAUUGCGUUCCAAUAAUUCCAGGAACAGGUAUGUUAAGGCUCUCCCUUCUUUCUUUUGGCAUAGUUUAGAUUAUGCGAAAGAAACGAGCAUAUACAUGGUUUCUAUAUAUUAUUCUAUUCAUAGAAAUAGUAGGGGUGACUAUAUUCUUGAUUCCCCAUGAGAAUUAUUAUUUUCUUAUGUUCAUGGGUCUCAAAAAAUAAUACGCAGUUGGAAAAAUUUAUCCGGAAGGAAUAUUGAGAUUAUUACGUAUUUUUCAUACAUUUCGUACAUGUGCAUUGACCCAUGACCAGAUGACGUUAUAUACACGUAUAUUUGUAAAUAUAUGUAUAUGGGAUAUGGGAAAAGGUUACGGCGUUAUAUACGCAUCACCACCUGAUCAGCUAGUAUAUGAUGAUGAUGUUGCCCACAGUGGCUGAAAUAUGAUUUAAACGACGUUAUAUACGCAUAUAUGGGUAUGUAUUCAAAUGGCGUUAUAUACGCAUAUAUAUGUAUGUAUUCAAACGGCGUUAUAUAUGCGUAUAUAUGUAUGUAUAUAUAUGUAUAUGGGAUAUGAGAAUGGUUAUGGGGUUAUAUACGCACCACCACCUGAUCAACUGGUAUACGAUUAUGACUUUGCCCAUAGUGGCCGAUAUGAUGUGAUGGGAUGCCCUCAGAGGCUGAUGAUAUUAUGUAAAUCCAUACCUAUGCAUGACUUGGCAUUUACACACACGUGCAUGACGUUAUAAAAGUUUCAAAAUAUACAAAGUUAUUCAGAUUUAAAGAUGUGUUUCAGUAUUCCAUGUUUCAUCUAUGUCUAUUACGUACUAAUUUCCAUGCCUUACAUACUCAGUACAUUUUUCGUACUGAUGCCCUAUUCCACGGGGCCUGUGUUUCAUGCCCGCAGGUGCAGGUAGGCAAGCUGACGGUCCUCCUUCUUAGGAUCCCUGAUCAGCGAGAGUUGGCAUGCUCCAUUUGAUCCGGAGCUACUUUUGAUAUUGGUACGAUACGUUUGUACAUAUAUAUGUAUAUGAGUAUGACAUGGCUCAGUCCUGUAUUUGUACAGUUAUAUUUCUGUUAGAGGUCUGUAGACAAUAUGUUUAGUUGGGUUAUACGUGGCCUUGUCGGCUUUCAGUUUUUGAUGUAUAGUUGUCUAUAGCAGCCUUGCCGGCUCGCCCACUGUAUUCUGUCUGUAUACGUACAUGUUCCUUGAUGGAAGGCUUCUUUCACGUAUGUUGAUUCUGUAAUGUAGCAGAGGUUUUUCAGGUUCAUAUUUUAGACGUAUGCUUAGGGGUGUUUGAUUGGUAGGACUCAGGCGCUCGUCACGGCCUAUCGGUUUGGGUCGUGACAAAAAAGAAAAAAAUCGAAUUUCAAAACAAAAGGAGAUGGCAAAAAUUGGAUAGAAAUUAGCUUCUAUAAUGUUCAACAAUGGAGAAUAAGGUAGAAAGAAGAAGAUGGCUGUUGAAUAGGCUAAAUUAUUACCGUUAGGGAUUUUUCAGCUGUCUUCACGCCCCUUACAGGCAUGUGAAUCAUGCACUAAAGCCACAUAUGACACAUAGGAGCAGCCACAUUGGAUAAGCAUUUAUUAUUCACGUUUGAAUGAGUAUAAGUGUUCAACUGACAAAUAUCUAAGCUUGGGGACCGACAUGACAAAGUGGUUGAAGUACAAGUGCCAUUUAGGAGUCGGUAAAACUGCUGAGGAGGGAGGUGGACAAGAUUAGUUCAGCUGGCGACAUCCCAUUGGAGCUACUAUUGGAGGACCCAGUCCCAGCAUCUUAGGCAGCAUAGGCACCGGAGCAGGGGGCUGAUAGAGAGCCUAUGAGGAGAGGGGUGAUUCCCAGACUGAUGACUUGGAGAUUGUGCUGGAGGAUCCCGAGGGAGGUGACCCAGGCCAGCCACAGGACCCAAUCCAGCCACAGGACCCAGCCAGUGACCUCAUGCAGACAGAGGAUCCAUAGGGAGUUUUCUUUACUCUCUACCUCUCUUUGAUCUUAUUUUUGCUUUUAGCAUUGAUGACAAUGCUAGUUUUUAU